CCGCUAAUCAACAUCCACGUCCGGCAAUAUCACGUGAUCUGAGUGCUGGCUUGUUUGGACCAAUCAGAGGCGUCAGAGCAGCAGCGACGCAGACUCCCAGCGAUGGUCCUUCCGCAGGUUACGACGGGUGUCUGACCACGUUGCAUCUGAAGAACGUACCUGAGGAGUGAAUAAACAAUAAAUGUGUUAAAUGUAAUUAUUUGAUGCUCAGUGGGAUCAAUGCUUUUGUCAAAAACAUCCUGUAUGAUUACCUUAUACGAGUUACAACUGUAGCUAGAAAAUCUCAUGUUGACCUGAAUGCAGAUAAUGUACCUUGUACGAAUGGACAGCAUCAUAUUUGACUAUUUUUCUUAUCAAAUCUUGUGAAAAGAGUUAAGUGACAAACUGAUGACUUGCACAAUUUAAGACUUAAUGAAACCU